rnacentral:lncRNA from 1 species
GAAGAUGUCUGUUUGCCAAGGUUAAUUUUACUAAGACCUCAUUUUCAUAAAACAAUGAUAAUAUUAAACAGCAAGAAUGAGGAUCAAGUCGAAGUUAUAUACAAAUGAGGCAAAAUUUUCAGUUGCCUACUUUUUAUGUAUUAGUAGUUAUUUUUGUCAUUAAAUGAUAUUGUUUACCCUUUUAUGUGUAGGGCAAGAAUAUUAAAGAUAAAGGGAAACUAUAAACAGAAGAAAUUAUCAACAAAAAUAGAUUUACAAAGGUCAACAAAGCCUAAAUGGUAAGUCCACUGUUAAAAAAAGUUUUAGCCCUUGAGUAAUGAUUAAAUAUUUAUUAAAAUAAGAUGUGGUACGAUAAAUGAGAAAACUAUCCAUCAGAGUUCAAUUAAGUGGAUGUAACCAUUGUAAUUACUUAUUAUUAGAGGCCAAUGAUGACCUGUUAGUAAUGAAAAAACUCAUACCCUAUACAUGAUAUAGUAAUCUAUAAAAGACAACGCUAACAAAAUUUGAAACGAAGCAUCAAUUCAAACUUCAAAUAUACCAGAC